UGGCACCCCCUCCCCGGCUCUCCUCUCUGAUUGAUCGGGACAGGAUUCAGUCAUUUCCCAUAAUUGUAAACAAGGCGCAUUCACACACUGAUCAAAUAUCCCAGAAGAGGACUUCUUUCAUCAGUUAUCUGUCUUCGAUGGACAUGAGAGCUCAAUCACUGCCAGCCCGGUCAUUGUGUGCCCGGCCCUUCCCUCCCCUCCCACCUCCACAAAGCACAGUUGCUUCUGCAUGCAGCAAGCGCCUUGAUUCCUAGAUGGGCUCGGGUCUCUUCUGCAUGAUAUAGGUUCCAAAUGUCAACCUGCAGCUAUAGAGAAGCCUGUGAACUAUGCUAAUGACUAAACUCUCUUGCGUUAACAGUCCUGCAUGAGGCUACAGCAAACUCUCCAAGAAACAGCCUGAGUGGGUUGGCAGUUUCUGAGCUCUCAAGCAAUAAGGCUGACUUGAAAUGUUGGUGUUUUAUAACUGCCCAAGGUGUCCCAUUUUCUUUCAGGGGUAAAUAAGAGCAAAAUACCUGGCUUGGUACAGUGGCUCACUAAUGCCAGUUGAACCAACCAAAAGUGGUGCCUCUUCAUUUAGACCAGAGAGCUUAGUGGAGAGCAGCUCUGACAGCCUUAGUUUAAGACGGGACAAAUUUCCUGCAUCCACAACUUCAAAGUUAUAAGCUUCACCCAGCUCACUACUAUCUGAUUCCUCCUCAUGCAUUUUUCUUUACAUCUUUGGGUCCAGGAAGGCACAAAAUAACUAUACUAUUCAAUACACAAACUUUGUAGCAUAGCAAAUCUAUGAAUCAGAGGCUAUUUUCUUUGGUAUGUAAAUGAUUUGUUGUAUGCCAAGGUCAUGCACUGCUUCCCGAAGUUCUGCUGAGAAAAAUCAACAUUUUUGUUGCUGUUGUUAUGUUUUCUUUUUUGCUUUUUGUACUGAGACAGCAUCUCAUUAGGUGGUUCAGGCUGGUCUCAUGCUCACUGUGUAGCCCAAGAUCACAGAAAUCCUCCUGCCUCAGCCUCUCAAGUCUGGAAUUACAGGUCUAUGCUACAAUGCGCUGUUUAAAAAUUAACAUCUUUGAGCCAGGUGUGGUGGCUCAUGCUGUAAUCCCAGCACUCAGGAGGCUGAGGCAGGAGGAUUGUUGUGAGUUCGAGACCAGCCUGGGCUACAAAGUGAGCUCAAGGCCAGCCUGAACUGCAUAGAGAGACUCUGACUCAAAAAGACAAAAAAAAAAAAAAAAAAAAAAUCUUUAUCAUUUAUAACAUCAUGUAAUCUAUUCAGUGGGGUGAUUUCAAUUCCAGAGUAGGUCCAUCUAAUAAUAUCUUUUUUUUUUUAACUGAGGACUGAAUCCUAAGCAGUCACACUGAGCAACAUCCUCAGCUUUUUUUUUAUUUAUUUUUUUUAUUUUUGGUGCCAGGGAUCGAACUCAUGACUAUAUGCUUGCAAGGCAGGUGCUUACACCACUGAGCUAAAUACCGGGCUUUAUUUUUUUAUUUUGAGCCAGAGUCUUGCUAAGUAGCCAAGGUGGACUCAGAUUUGCAACCCUCCUGCCUCAGCCUCCCUCAGUAGCACUUUGUAAAAUGCAAUCUAUAGAGUCAGUUAUUGAGCUGAGUGGGGAGCAGUACACCUGGGGGUAAAAGUGGAGCCAGGGCAGACCGCAUGGGGGGUCCAUCUCCUUGCCCUGAGUGAGGCCACAGCAGUGACAAGAGACAGUGACUUGGAGCAGAGAUCCGACCGCUUGCUGUGGCUCCGCGGCUUUGUGUUAUUUAUGAUCCGGCGCAUUCGGUUAUUUUGGAGCUGAAGGAUUUAUAGACUGAUGUUGAUGGAGAUGAGCUAGAGCCUCUGAGGACAGGCUUUGAAAUCCUUGGGUGUUUCAUUUCAAAUUUCAACUCCGAAAUCUAAACUCAAAUUGCUCACUGGUCUGUGGCAAAGAACACCUCAUUUGAAAUUCCGUUCUAAACUCCCUGACAGCAGCCAAACUGAGCCGAGUGUAGAAAUAGCUCCGACCCUCAGAUCCCAGGAUGUUAGUGCUUGCACGGCACAGGAACUAAGCAAGAGGACACCUGGUUUCCAACUGGCCCAGAGAAAGCGCACUCUGCCCUGCAGAGACCAGGAGGUGUACAGCCCUCCGCGGCCCUGGUGUCACAGCAGUGGUAUUUCUGUGGCCAGGGUUUGCUUAGGAUCUGUGACAGCUGAGUUUUUCCUAUCGAUUAUGUGACAGUAGGGCUCAUUUCUCUGCUUCAAAGAAAUUAGAAAAACCUCCAUUUCACGGGGGAAACCUAUCAGUUAAGAACUGAGUUGUGCUUAAGUACAGAAAUCAAAAUUCAAGCCAGGGAAAGUGGAAGAGGAAAUUAAAUUUUGAACCCAAACUUUUGUAGUUAAAUCAGCCUUCUAGACGACUCUGGCUGGUCCUUUAAUAGGAAGCCUUGUGGUUGGGAGCUGGUUUGAAAGCCAUACAAGAAGUCAUAUCUUCUGCAGGAACUGUGCGUUUAAAUCAGUACACACACCUGCAGUUACAUACUUAAGUAAUUUAAUAUGCAUUCAUGAUUCUAAUGCACCCCUCAGUAAAAAUGAUCUUUUUAUUUUGAUUAUUGAGACAGCAUCUCACUCUGUAGCUCAGAAGGCCUUGGGCUCACUGAGUAGUCCAAGUUGGCCUCCAACUUCCAGUGACGCUCCUGCCUCAGCCUCCUGAGUACUGGGAAUAUAAAUGUGGACCAUGGAAUACCAUUUUUAUCUUAUGUCAAUUCCUGAUAGUUUUCUGUCACAGGGUACAGAGAGGCAUAUAGAUGUAUCUAGAAGGCCAACAUAUUUCAGAGAGCCAGGAUUUCAAACAAAAGUGAACCUGGGCCCUGUAACUGUAAAUCAGGGUGUGAGGUUCAGGAACCGCAUGCCCUCAAGGGCUCCCUGAGGGGCCAGGCAGGGAGAACUGGAGAGAGGAAGGGCCAGGGCAGGCCAGGCCCUGUGGUCCUGAGUUCGGAGGGAUUUGAGGCACGGGAAAGCUGCAGCCUGUGCUGUGUGGCUGCAUUUGCUCGUCUGUCCCCUGAAAGCCACUGAACAAGUGGGAGGCACGGGUGGCACGCGUUCAGCAUGUGGGAGCUGGCUCCUCCGCCUUUCUGUUCCUCCCUUUCCAUCUCAUGGCUGUGGGACAGGCCCAUCCCUCUGACAGGGCAGCUGGGGCAGCUGGUCCAGGACAGAUGCUGUGCCUGGUCCUCCUCCUGACAGUCACUGAGAUUCACCGUCAAUAUCUCUGUCUUUGGAGAUGAGCCAAGGGCCUCAGCAGCAGACCUCAGCUGGCCUCUUUGCAGGGGCCAUGUUCUGCAGCAGACACAACCCACGGGAGCUGCUCCAGGCCAGGCCCAGCUAGCAGUGGCCCUGGGACAUGUGUGGAUUGCAGUUCUGUGCCCAUGGACAGCUGGGGGGGGGGGCAGGAAGUGGCCUGGCCACCUGCUCUGCCUUUCUUGAGGCGUAGCCAAUCUGGGCCCCAGGCAGGCCUGAAGAGAAGCUACUCAUGCUCCUUACUCUCCUCUCCGCUCUGCUCAGUGGUCUCAGUUUUGAUUCUAAAAAGAAAAAUAGCACUUGGGAGGCUGAGACAGGAGGAUCGCUGAGUUCCAGGCCAGCAGCUCAGCAUUGCAGAGUAAUUGUUCUUCAGACCCAACCUCGGAGAAUCUUUUUGUUGAGUUUAAAAAUUAAAAAAGAGACAAAACUUUUUUUCAGGGUUGGGGAUGGAGCCCAGGGCCUUUGCACUGAACUACAUCCCCCUGCCUUUUUGUUUGUUUGUUUGCUUGUUUGCUUGUUUUCUUUUUUGGUUUUUUGAACCAGGAUCUCUCUAUAAAGCCCAGGUUGGCCUUGAAAUCUGGCGAUCUUCCUGCCUCGGCCUCAAGAAUACUGAGGCUACAGGUGUGUGCUACCAUACCACACAACCCUUUUAAAUACUGCACCCCUUUUUAAAUUUAACACGUGACCCUGGGCCCAGUGGCUCACACCUCUAAUCCCAGCACUGAGGAAGCCCGAGGCAGGAGGACCAGAGUUCCAGUAUCACCUUGGCGACCUAGCUUGACCUGGUCUCCAAAAACAACAAGUCCGUCAAAGAACUGGGGCUGAAGGUUAAGAGCAGAGCCCUCAGGUUCUCCCCUCAGUAAUGAAAACACAGAACUGUGACUGACCAAAGAUGCCACCUUUCACUAAUGCCCACUUCGAGCAGCAGGAAGGACACUGAAUUUCUCAUCACUGCAGAUCUGAUAGACACAGUGUUCCCGGAGGAGGAGGCUGGUGCUCAGCAGAUGCCAGCCUGGCUGGCUACACACUGAGACUCCAUCGUCCUCGGCUGUGAGAAGCCACCAAGGCUUCAUUUCCUGCUCGCUGGCUCUGCUGGAAGGAGCUGCCCGGGAGGACAUGGAGCCCCGAGCCAUGCAGAGGAGGCUGGAGGUGGCCCUGCCGCUCUGAAGAGGCAGGAGCCGUGCUGGCUAACACAGGGACCACGCCUUAGAGACUGGUGGCUGAUGGCAAGGCGAGUCCCUCCGCCUGCCCCCCUGGCUCUCCUCCAGUGGCCUUUCCAGCACAGACAGGAAAGAAAUGAUUCCUGAGUUGUACUUUUUUAUUUUAUUUUAUUUCAUUUUAUUGGAGGCAGGGUUUUACUAUGUAGCUCAGGGAAGUGAUCCUCCUGCCUCAGCUCCCAGAGUGCUGGGAUCACAAGCCUGUGCCACCACACCAGGCUCUGGGUUCUAUUCUUUAAAAUUAAUAUUAACUAAUAAAUAGUUUUAUGUCCAUUCUAUCAUGGGAAGUCGGUGGCAAUUAUAAAACAGCAAAAGCAGGUCAUAACAAGAUUAGGUUAAAACGUCUCUGUGAAAUUUCUGCACCCAUUAUUGGAGGGGCAGUUACUAUAUUUCGGGGAGUCACCUUUUGUAAAGGUGGGGCUCAGAAACGAAGCAAGGAAUGGUAUUUAGACCAAAGACAUUGUUUUCUUAUAUAUUCAUUACUGUUUAAAAAUUGUUUAUUUUCUGAGUACAUAAUGUUUAAUUCUCUCUGGGGAGUGGGUACGUGCAUAUAACACAUUUUAUUUCCUUGUCUCUACUUUUUGUCUUUUGUUUCAAGACAGGGUCUCACUAUGCAGUGCAGGCUGGUCCUGAACUCACAGUGAUCCACCUGCCUCAGCCUCCUAAGUGCUGGGAUUACAGGCAUGCACCACCACACCCAACCCUUUUUCUACUUUUUUUCUUUUUUCUACUUUUUAAAAUGUAACCAACACUUCCCUCACAGUGCUUCCUUAUACCCAUGUGUGUGUGUGCAUGUAUGUGUGUGUAUUUGCAUGUGUGUACAAGCACGUGUGUGCAUGUGUGUAUGUGCACAGCUGUGCCGAAUGCCCAGUGCCUACAUGUGGAAUGAUGUCCUCUCAAACUUCUGGAUUCUGGACAUUGUUAGAAGGCAGGACAGUGAAGAGAGGUCCAGAGUAAUGACAACAAUAGAGGCCAGUGAUUUCAUUUCCCAGAAGCCCUACCCAGGCACGGUGGCUGUGUUUGCAGCCCUCACACAGGAGGCUGGAGCAGGAGGACUGAGGUAAGUCUGACAUCAGCCUGACUGUGUCUCACAAAAAAGAAACAAGGAAACAAAACAAAUCCCCUCACUGUGCAGUAGUCUACAGUUUUAGAAAGCAUUAUUAUGAUUAAAGAGUAUUAUGUUCCUAAAUUGUGAUUCUUACAUAGAAACCAAUUUAAUGAAUUCUUUUUUGCUUUUUUUUUUUUGAGAUAUAAUUCAGGCUGGCCUUGAACUCGUUAUGUAGCCCAAGCUGGCCUCAAACUCAGGGUUCCUUCUGCCUCAGCCUCUUGAGGGCUGAGAUUACAGGACUACACCACUACAUGCAGCCUUGAAGAAUUUUAUAUAAAAUCUGUCACCAAAAGUCACCUAGUAAAGUUUUCUAGUGUAAAUACACUCACUUCAUGAAGAAUUGUUAUUUUAUUUUUAAAGUUUUUUUUGAGACAGUGUCUUACUGUAAUUCAGGCUCUUCUUGAACUCACUGUGUAGUCCAGGCUAGCCUCAAACUCACAGUGAUUCUCCUGCGUCAGGCUCCUGAGUGCUGGGAAAGGAAUUAAAUUUUAAUUUGCAAGCCUUUCUAUUGCUGUGGGACAUUAGGAUAAGACAGCAUUUGCUAGUCACAUGUAAGACUAACCUAUAUCUUUUAAAAAAACUUUAACGUUUAUUUCUCUAAAAUAAAACACAUAUUGUAUUUUUUCUUAGCUUUUAUUAUAACUACUGUAACUUUAUGAUGUUUUUAAUGUAUCGUGUUUUUAUUAAGUUAUUUGGUGCAAGAUAAAAUAUAUAAUAGUAAAAGAAUCCCUUGCUUUUCUAAUUCUAUUAUGUCAAGUCAAGCAAAAUGGACACAUCUCAAGAAAAAAAUAUCUUGAGCAUGUUUUUGAAUCAAAAAUGAUUAUCAACAGUAUUUUUCCCUAAUAGACUAGCGCUUAUUAUGGAUCUUAUUUCAAAGGUGAUUAUUCUCAAAGAAAAGGAGAGAUAUUAGAAUUUCCAAAUAAGUUACAUUGUUUAAAAGUACAUUGUUGUAUUAUUCAUAUUGUUAGCAACUGGCUAACGCAUACGAAAGGAAGAAGGAAAAAAAGAUUUAAAAACCCCACAGUAAUAUCUUCUAAAAUAUCACAUUUUGAGAUUUAAAAAGAACUUACAGAUUCCAUUUUGAGGGCUAAUCGUGGAAAUUUAUACCAAUGCCAUAAACAAUUUAAGUGAACCCCCUACCCUUAAAAAACUUGAACCAUGAUAGGCAUUUCUGCAAGGUAGGUUUUAACAUAUUUUUUCCUAGUUUUUUCGCCCUCCAUUCAGUAAGAAAGAUAAGCUUUUCGAGGACCCAGUCGCCGUGGUAACUGCCAAAAAAAUCCUCCUGAAGUUUGAAGGGGUCAGCAAGUGGGGUCAGCAGCCCUGCCCUCCCGCGCGCUGCCGGCCUGCGCUGGGGGCGUUGGGCUGAUCCGACCCCGGGAGGGGGGACCCUUCCGCCUCUGAUAUAAAUUUUUUGAGUCAGUUCGUGGCCUGGACUCUCCAGGUGGCCUCCAAAAUCGAUUUUGACCCCCUGACCCUGUCUCGGGGAGGAAUAGCAUGCACCCUAAGCACAGGCUUAGCCAGGAGUGACAGCUUUCCGCUGAGUGUUAUUGGGGACAGGAUAAACAGUUUGGAAAGCCGGGAAGGAGGUGUGAGCGCCGGGCAUUCUUACAAACACAUUAGAAAGCAAUUAAGAAAUCUCUGCUUAAAUUUAAAAAAAAAAAAAAUGUGUUUCCUCUACAGCAUUCCUAUGGGACCCACCGGGUCUUUGGAUGGAAACUUGGGUUAGGAGCCACCGGCCACACAGGGAUCCCCUUUCAGCUACUUUGUUACAAAUAGGCAAAUAAGAGAGGCAGAUUUGCAACAAAACAGGUAUAGCGUGGACAUAGUAAAAUGUGCAGGGAAAGGAAUCGGCUUAUUGCAAACACCACACUAGGUAAAGAAUUGCUCGUAUUUUUCAACCCUAGUUUUGUGUGUGUGUGUGUUGCAUUUAAAAUGUAAAUUAAGGAACUUCGAUUCCCUGGCUAAAAGAAAGAGUGGAGGAAAAGAUGAACUCGUUUCACUCAGAGUCCUUUGCUAAUUUGUACAACAAACAUCACCACUUCAUUUGGAUACAAUGAGAGAAAACCAUAAACAUGGACAGUGGCCUCAGCGCUGACCCAAGAGUUAAAUAAGUAAGCAUCUCUGAAGAAUUUCUGGUGCUUUCAUCAGUUUUAAGGUAUCAAAAGCUUGGGAAAUGAAACUAUGAUAUAAACAUUCUCAGUGAUCCUUUUUCUCUCUUUUUUCCAGGAGGCCCAACAAGUUUGAUUUUCCCCAGGAGAGCUGAGCUGUCUGGGGUUCCUCCUAGGAAUCUGGGGUCUGAUUGUUUCUCCCCUGAAACUCUCAGCACCCCUCCUCGCAGCUCUGAUGAGCAACCAGCAGUGGCAAAACCAUCCUCCGAAUCCUUUUGCAAAUCCGAUGUUUAAUUGGGGCACAUUUCCGGUCAGAGGGGGGCCAGAGGACGGGAGGGGACCUAGCAGCUGAGCCCCACAUAGGCACUUUGUGUCUCUGUCCUGGCUUCUCACUCCGUUAAAUCCCUAUUAUCAAACUUAUCUUCCCAAAGCCUAUUAUAGUAUUCCCAGAACAGAUUGGGCCAUGAAUAACUGACUUGGAAGUGUAGAGUGUUUUCUACUCAAGGAAAGUUAGAGCUGACAACAGCUUAACGGCAAGAAGAGGGAUUCAUCUCGCACUGAUGGAUUUCAAGGUUUCACUCUUGAUGAAGGGCACCUUGGAGGGUCCCCACUCCAGAUGCACGUCUGUGCUGUCUUUAAGGAUUGGCCCAGUGAUUGCACAGCGCUGGUCCUGCGUGGCCCUAAUUGUCGGUGAAUUUCCUCUGUGUCAUUGGUCUCUCAGACAGGUGUCUGUGUUACUUCCUGUGGAUUAAAUCUGUGUUUCCAAAAGGACCCAGAUGCUCAGAUGUGAACCAGUAUGAGAGGAAUAGCUUGUGUAAAUCAUCAUUUCCCUGUUAGAUAUGUUGUAAAAAUAUUUAAUGUCCCACAGUGUACAGACUACUUGAUCCAUACCUGUGUGAGGUCCCUGAAAAAGUUAUCAACCCAGUCUUAGUUGUGGUUGCAUACUGUGAUCAAGUCACUCGGAUUUUAUAGCUCCUGCUUCAAGUGAUUAACCCACAGAAAUAGACUUCUGCUUAUUUUUGUGUCCCAAUAAUUCUAGGACAUCAACAUUUUAUAUUAAAGAGCAAUGUUUUCGUAUCUCAUGAAUUGAUGAUUGAUGAGUGGCUGGAUCAAUUGGUUUUGAGACAGGGUCUCACUAUGCAGCCUAGGCUGGCCAUAAACUCAGGGUGAUCUUCCCGCCUCAGCCUCUUGAGUACUGAUAUUACAGGCAUGUGUCUAUAUCCCCAGUUUAUAUUACAUAGAUUUAAAAAGUUAAACAGGGGCUGGGGAUUCAGCUCAGUGGCAUAAGCACCUGCCUUCCAAGCAGGCAGUCGUGAGUUCAAUCCCUGGUACCAGAAAAAAGAAAAAAAAAAAAAAUUUAAAGUUAAACAAAGAAAGACAGGUGUUGAGGAUGUAGCUCAGUGGCACACAAUGUGCUUAGGUCUGAGUUUUAAAAAAAAAAAGAAAAAAGGCAAAGGACAUAUGAUUGGAAAAAUUAUAUUUACAUAAAAAUAAAUUUUAUUAAUUUUUUUCUCUUGCAUAUAUUUUUAAAUGGCCUUUUAGAGAUGAAGAACAAAUUUUUAGAAGUUGCAGGACAGGGUGACACACACCUAUAAUGUUAGCAUUCCAGGAGGCUGAGGCAGGAGCAUCACUGUGAGUUUGAGGCCAGCCUACACUACAUGGUGAAUUUCUUUUUUUUUUUUUUUUUUUUUUUUUUUUUUUUUUUUUUUUUGCUACUGCGAAUUGAACUCAGGGAACUCAGACCUCCUCAUGCUUACCAGGCAGGCACUGUACCAUGGCAAUACCUAGCCCGUCUACAUAGUGAGUUUAAGGCCAGCCUGCACUACAGAGCGAGACCCUGUCUUGGGGAGGAAAAAAAAGCAGGACUCCCCAGAAGUCAAAUGCAAUCCCAUAUAAAUUAAUUAAAAAACUAUAUGGGGAUCAAACCCAGAGUCUUUCACUCGCCAUCAAGCACUCCAGCACUGUCCCUGAGGUUUUUAUAGACACCUAUCUUAGGAAGUGUGCAUAAACAAAGUUGUAUAAGACUACCUUACUUCUCUUGGGUUUUUCUUCCUCAUAUUAAGAAAAAAGGUUUGCAGAAUAUUAUAGGAAUAAUAAAUAAAAGCUUUAGUUUAAUUGAAUUAAUCUAACCUUUCUAAACAUAUAAAAAUUAUCGCAUGUGGUAGCAUACGUGUCUGGUCCCAGCACUUGGGAGGCUGAUGCAGGAGGAUUACUAUGAGUUUAAGGCCCCCUGAGCUGCAUGAGGAGACCCUGUCUUAAGAAAAAAAGAAAAAGAAAGAAAGACAAAAAUUAGAAAGGGCUGAGAAGUUUCUGGAUCUAGACUCUAGAACUGCCAAACAAACAAACCCAAACCAAAAGCUAACAAAAAUGUCUCUUACAACCAAAAUCCAAUCCUGACAUUCGAUGUUACAGAUUCUGGCAAUGUCUUGGUGUUUAUAUUGUCUGUCUUAACCAUCUGAACUACCAAAUAUUGCUUAGUUUUCAGGUCAGCUUCUCAUGUUGAAAAAAGAAAAACAUUUUUAAGUAUCUAAUCUGAAAAAAGAAAAAAGAAAAGAAAAAAAAAAAAGAAUCUAAUCUGAGACUGAGCAGAUAUAGCUCAACAGCACAAGAGCCUGAGUUCAAUUCCUAGUACAAGAAAAAAGACACCUAAUGUGAGCCAGGCAUGGGCGUGCAUACCUGUGAACCUCACACUGGGGAGGCUGAGGCAGGAACAUUGUUUUGAGUUGUGUACAUUAAAUGCAUUUUCAAUUUAUGGCAUUUUCAGUUUAAGAGGAGUCUACUGAGCCACAACAUGGUCAUAAGGAGCAGAGCACCUGACUACUGGCAGAUACACCGUGUAGUUUGGAGUCUUGUUUUAUCAGCAAAACCUGGAGUUACACUGCUGUGUCAGACGCUGGUAGUGAUGUAUUUUUCUUUUUCUUUUGAAGGGAGGUAGUGGUGUUUUUUGUUUUUAUUUUGAGACAGGCCUUGCUAUGCAGUUCAGGCUGGUCUUGGACGCACAGCGAUCCUCCUGCCUCAGCCUCCCCAGUGCUGGGAUCACAAACGUGCAAAAAUCACACCACAUAGGACACGAAACUGUUGCGUGCUCACAGGGCAAGGUGCGAUGUGGGACAGGAAAAGCUGUCACAGCUCAGGAGCACAAACAUCAGAGCCACAGGAAUACAAGAUGUGAGCCUCUGCCCAAAGCACAGACUAACUGGCCCCCAGUGCUGAAGGAAACCAGCUCACACCGUUUUCACCACCACACACGCCCACCCAGCACCUCGAUCCACGCUCCUGUGUGGCACCCACACCACGCAGACAUGGGAAGCUGGAUGGGCGGUGCCUGCCCCAGUGCUGCGGGCGGGAGACGCGUCCCCCGUGGCGCAGGAAGGGGGUGUGUGGGAUGGGAGUGGGGGUACAGGGCAAGAGGGAGACAGACAGGUAGGGAGAUGGUCAGGGAGAGGGCGAGGGGGGACACAUAGAUGUUGGACCAGAUGAUAAACAGACAGGAGGGUGGUGCACAUCUGUAAUCCCAGCGCUCAGGAGGCUGAGGCAGGAGGACUGCCACAAGUGAGUUCAAGGCCAGCCUGGGCUACACACCAAAACUCUACCCCCAAAAAAGUAACAGGGAUGUGUCCCAGAUUUUUACUCACUGUAUUUAUCAGUCUUGUUUACUAAGAAGUUCAGAAAAAUAUGUAUCAAGAUCGGUGGGAUGCAGUAUAACAGUGGGACUCUGCACCCCCUCUCCCAUCUUGGAACUGGGUUUCAGCUGUGAACCCAAUUCUUGGCCAAGGCUACAUCGGCUAUCCCCAGCUCAUCCCCAUCCAGGCCGCCUCCCCAUGUGUCUGCACCUCGUUAGGUCAAAGCCACCGCAGCCUCCGUGACUGCACCCCAGCCUGGGCCAAGCCCCGGUACACCUGUGUGUCUAGGAGGCCACAGCUCUGCCUGCCGCUGAUUGUCACCUCCGAUGUGGGCUCCAACAGCCUGGAAGCGUGGGGGAGCAGCCCCCCAUUCAUGGUGCUGGCAGGGCUGCAGCUCAGCUGGGCCAAACUAUAUCACCGUUGAAAAAAGGAAAAAGACAAACAAAACAAAACAAAACUAUAUCACCAUUAUCCCCAGGCUCUACUACGCUACUGGUACUUUUGUAUCUUUUUGGUGUUUUUAUGAGACGGGGCCCAGGCCGGCCUCAAACUCAUUCUGUAACCCAGGCUGACUUUAAACUCAUGGUGAUCUGCCUGCCUCAACCUCCCAAGAGCUGGGGUUACAGGCCUGGCCACCCAUGAAUAAUGCUUUCAUGGAAGAGAUAACUAAGGUACCAGGCAACUGAUCCAAAAAUACCACCAAGCAACUAAAUUUGCCGGAUUAAAAGGAUGUUUUUCCUCUCCCGAUUGGUUUUAUUUAUUUACUUGUGGUACUAGGGUCCAACACAGGGGCUUUCACACUGCACCACACUCCCACCUUUUCCUGGGAGGCAGGGUGUUGCUAUGUAGUUCAGGCUGGCUUUAAAACUGCUAUGUAGCCUAUACUGGCUUUGAACUCAUGACUGCUCCUGCCUCAGCAUCCCAGGUGCUGGGAUUACAGGGGUCUGUCACCACGGCCAGCAUCCUUAGAUCUUUUUUUUUUUUUUUUUCUCAGCUCUUUUUCAGUGUUUUAAAAUCUUGAAACAGGGUCUCAUUAAGUUGCUAAAUUGACCACACUGGGUUUGAACCAAAAACUCUCCUGCCUCAGCCUCCCAGAGUACGGCAUUUCGAGUGUGAGCUCCCACAUCCAGCUCAAACAGAAAACCCUAAAAGCUGUUUUAUAACGUUUGUGUUGUGAAGGUGGUACCAGCUGAAAUGCAUGCAGUGGGGACAUUUCGUGGGAAUCAACUCUGUCUCCGCUUUAAAAUUAAAAGGUCUAAAGUGGGCAUGAUAUGGUGUCUGUUGCAUGACUGUAAUUCCAGCACUGAGGAAGCUGAAGCAGGAGGAUUAUCAUGAGUUCAAGGCCAGCCUGGGCUACAUACUGAGACCCUGUCUCAAGAAAAAGAAAAAAAAAAAAAAUUAAAGUCUAAAGUAAACUUUUUUUAGGUAUUAGGCAUGCAGAAAAAUGGUACUUUGCAACAGUGCUGAAAAUUCUGCAUCAGCCUCAACCAGACGUGAGCUUCGAUGUAAAGGGAGACAGUGCUCCCUCUGGGCAGGCUGGGCAGCAGAGCCCUCUGGAAAGACCCUUCUCCUGGAGGAGGGAUCCCCUCAACGGGAGGUCACACAGCAGUUUGCUCAGGACCAGAACACUGCAGCCCUGGCCGCGCUCUCCUGGCCCCAAAGCUGGGCGCCUGGGUCAGCAGUGCAGCUGGGCCAGAGCCCGCGGUGCUGGCAGCUGGGAAGCCGCAGUCCUGGGCCCUGUCCUCUGCCACUGGAGCCCCGGGUCAGGAGGCGGCCAGGGCAGUGGGGAAGGCUUGCCAGUUGUUUUGAAUUCUUGCAGGUGUUAGAAAAGCAAAGGAUUCUUUUCACAGCCGCAUCUGCAUUUGACACUGACCACUCUGAGGCAGCCUGCGGUGUUUUUGUUUGUGGUUUGACAGAUGGACACACAGUGGCCGGCCAAGCCCUCCGGAAAUCAGCUGGCCUCCAGCACCAGUCUCCCUCUGCCAUCCGGGAAUACAUGAUCCCUGUGCUUUGCUGGCUCUUUUCUUUGGUUUUUCUGAUUUUUAACUAAACUAGGUUAAAAUAAGUACUUAGAUGGGAUAAUAACAUCAGAAGCCAGUUUUCAAGACCACCCAAUCUUUAAAAACUUAGAAGUAGAGCAGGAGAUUUGUGGCAUUUAAAUAAAUAUUAGGAUAUUUAAAAUGUUAAUAUCUGUGUCGGUGGUAAGAGAACUUGGUAGAAAAAUCACAACUUACAAACUUUUUAACAUUAAAAAAACUAAAAUAAAAUUUCUAUUUUGAAAACUUUCCUUUUGGUCAUCAAUAAUACUCUUAAGUUUAUAUAUGUGUGGGCUGGGGAGUUAGCUCAGCGGCAUAAGCGCCUGCCUUGCAAGCAGGCAGUCGUGAGUUUGAUCCCUGGUACUAAUAAAAAAGAAAAAAGACAAAAAAAAAGUUUAUAUAUGUGUGCGUAUCAGCAGCUAUGUUAUCACAAGGCCAAGGAAUGACAUUUUAUGGAUAAAGUUAAGUCAGAAACCCUUUACGAGUAUUCUCCCUAGUGGUAGUGUCUCAUGGAAUUAAGAAAUCAAAGCUCCUGCUUUGAGUAUUAACUUGACCAUGAUGUAACUUUCUGAAUUUUGUUAUACUUUAAUCUCUUCAUUUCUUCCUCCUCCUCUCUUCUUAUUCUUCCACUUUUGGUUUGCUGAGACAGAGCCUUACUGUGUAGCCCAAGCUGGACUCAAACUUUCUGAGAUCCUCCUGCCUCAGCCUCCCAAGUACUGGGCUUACAGGUGUGCACCGCAGCACAGGUUUCUAUUUCUUCAUAAUAUUGAAUUCCUCACCCCGUCACCCUAUCUGAAAACAAAAUGACAAAAGAAAACCAAGUGUUAAGCAAGCAUAAAAUGUUAUAAACAUAUUCUUUUUUUUUUUUGGUCUUUUUCAUUUUUAUGGGUACCAGGGAUCGAUAUCGGACUGCCUGCUUGCAAGGCAGGCGCUUAUGCUGCUGAGCUAAACCCCCAGCCCCUAUAAACAUAUUCUUAAGUCUACUUUUUUUUUUCUCCUGCAUGCCAGUUCUUUGGGGUUUUUUUGUUUGUUUUCUUUUGUUUUUGUUUUGAGUCCUGGUUUUUUGAGAUAAGAGCUCAUUGUUCAGGCUGACUCUGAACUCACUACGUAGCCCAGGCUGGCCUCAAACUCACAGAGAUCCUCCUGCCUCAGCCUUCCCAAAUGCUGGGAUUACAGGUGUACACCACCCUGUGUAGCUGUUUUUGAGACAGAGACUCACCAAACUGUUACAUUACCCAGACUAACCUUUAACUCUUCACCCUCCUGUUUCAGCAUCCCAGAGUGCUGGGGUUACAGGUUUGUGCCACCACACCUGAUCCUAAUUCUACCCAGUGCUUGCUGGCCAUUCUGGCCCCUCCACCUAUGCAGCGAGAAGCUCUUCCCUGUGGACGGAGCAUCACAGUGUGCGGCCUCCCCAGUGCCAAAGAGCUCUGUGAAAUCCAGUUUCCAUGGGGCCCGUGCUGGAGAAAGGGAGAACAAAACAAGAACUGGCCAAAGGGACCUGAAGACAGCACUUUGCUGGGGUUUGGGGAGAGAGCUUUUUUUAAAAUUAAGUUUAUUGGUCCAUUUUAGGUAUAAUAAUGACCAUAUUUCAUCGUAGGGGAUUUGUACCUGUACACAACACAUCUGGAUUCUUUUAUUUUUCCUCCUUUGUCUUCCCCUGCAUCCCCUGCCCUCCCUCCAGCCCCACCCCUCUUUCUGGGGAGAGAUUACAAUAAAGCAAAACCACAGUUCAAACUGCCAAGUGGAAAACGAAAGUUGUUUCCACCUCUUAUAUUAAAGAACGAUGCCCUGUA